UACAGAGGGUGCAAGCGUUAAUCGGAAUUACUGGGCGUAAAGCGUGCGUAGACGGUUAUUUAAGUCAGGUGUGAAAGCCCCGGGCUCAACCUGGGAAUUGCAUUUGAGACUGAAUAGCUAGGGUGCGGAAGAGGGAAGCGGAAUUUCCGGUGCAGCGGUGAAAUGCGUAGAUAUCGGAAGGAACACCAGUGGCGAAAGCGGCUUCCUGGUCCAGCACCGACGUUCAGGCACGAAAGCGUGGGGAGCAAACAGG
rnacentral:rRNA from 1 species